AAUGAAGCAGAGGGAGGCAGAUUGUGGUGGUGGGUGGGAGAGAACAAUUAAUAUGAAGAUGGAAAAGAGUUGAGUAAAAAUGUUAGCUGGGGAUGAGUGAUGCUGAACUAAUCAUGAAAUGUUAGGCCUCAAAAAUUCCUUGGACUUGAAAGGCCCAGCUGGCUAAUUCUACAGAGAGCUUUUAUCUGCAAUAGUACACCAUGUUGCUGGAACCCAGAGACCAAGAAACCAAGAUGGUGGCUGGAAACCAUCUGGCCCCACAACAGACAAGAUUCUGGCAGGGCUAUGACGACAAGAACUGCUUUCCCAAAGGAAAGGAAGGGUUGGCAGGCCAGCUUCCUGAGGAAGGGCCCCUGCAUCUCCGCUUGCCUGAGACUAUUCUGGUCCAGUGCCCAGUCUGUGCAACUAUAACGCACAGCUCCCCUUCUGCUUAUGGCAUGCUCUCCCAGGGAUGCACCCCACCCUGCUGAAUGAACGUACCCUAGACAAUAAAAAAAUACAUAGGCAAUUUAAACUAUAGGUAAUAUGAAAAGCUGGGCCAGAGAUGGCAAACAUGUGCCACAUACUUCCUUGCGUUUUCCUCUGGUCCUCAUGGCAGACAAUACUGGUCUAUCAAGCCCUAUUUUCUAAUGAGCUCAGAAUGCGGCUUCAGCACCCUUCUCAACACAGGGCUCCAGUUGCUACUGUGGACCAGCAGGAACGGACUACCUCCUAUCAGGUGCUUUACACCCAGGCAUUAGCAUUUCUGCAGCACUCAGCUGGGAACCUCAGGCCCACAUUUCUGGGGUAGCAAUUUAGGGCCAAUGUCAAGUUCAGAUAUGUUUAGAAACUGGUUAAAGAAUUGACCUCAUCAGGAGCCUCCUUUCAAAUGCCUUUUUAAGGGCUGAGAACAGCAGUGUUAACAGGCAUCAAAUACAAUCAAUAGCUAAGGAGAAUGACAUCUCCAGGAAAACCCAAGAUAACCUGUGUAUUACAGUUCCAUAAAAACAGACUGGCCAGCUUACCUUUUACUUUUGACACCACGAAUGAGCUGGAAGGCUUGUAUUUGCUAGAAAAGAAAACAGGAGGUAAAUGCAAACAGAAUCGUUUCUAAAAGUCCAAGAUUGCUCCUGCAUUUAUUUUAUUUUCAGCCUCAACUUUAUAUUUUCCUACUUGUUUCUCAUCAGCCUUAGGGAAGGCUCAAAGCCCUUAGAACAUUCCAGAGUAGGGCUCACCCUUAGAACAUUCCAGAGCGGGGCUCGUUAAACUUCUCUGUGCCAAGAACCCCUCCGGCAGCCUUGGGAAGCCUAUGGACCUCUUCACAGAAAAGUGACUUUAAAAUGUGUAUGAUAAAUUUACAAGAUUAACAGAGAAUCAGUUACUCAUGACAUUGUUACAGAGGUAUUAAAACGACUCUGCAUUCCAGUGAAUGCAUUAAAAACACAAUGGAGAGGCGAGUCUUCUAACCGCUGUUGUCUCAGGGUAAUGAUGGCAGAGACCGUGUUUUCAGAUGGCCGCAACAACCAGAUUUGUCCCAGUGAGAGGGUUGCUGGCCCUGCUAAUGCUACUGUGGUUUGGGGCCAACGUUCAUACCAGCAGGAAAUACUACAUUUCAAUUAGAGGUUAGAGAAAAUAAAGCUUUGAUUUGCUUUGUGUCGCUGUUUGCAGACUCCCUAAAAUGUGAAGAACUCUGUUCCAGAUGCAAAGUUGGCAGUUGGGAGGGCCCAGAAGCAGCUCUGUGACAAGCGUGCUGGGCCACGUGGGGCCCAAACCUGGUGCCCCUGCUGAGCCUCGUGUGGCCAGCAUUAGGUCACUGGGCCUCCGAGAAUAUGUUGCUUCCGUUUAGACUUCCUUGCUCUUGUGUUUACACAACCCCUGAGUCCCUAGCUAAGACGAAGAGGGAAUUUUGCAAGACCUCUUGAAGAACCAGGCCUUUGAAAGGGGAAUGACUCAUGUGGUUUUUGAAAUGUCCUGAGUGGAACUCCUUGGAACACACACAGGGGCUUUGGUCACUGUGGUCCUUGCUGCAGACCCUGGGAAGGGCACUGACACGGGGAAGCUUGCUUGAUGCAAUGCACCAUGGCCCAGGGCUGCAGGAAGCUGGGACAGGGUCCCCAGUGUCCCUGCUGGGCCAGACACUAAAUCCUGCAUGGGGAGGGGGCUCCCGGGCAUGAGGAGGGGUGCAUUCUGAGGGCUCUGGGUGACAGAUCUUUCCUGGCGACUGUGGAAGAACUUUAUCAUUUUAAAGAUUGGCUGGCUGUACCUCUGUGGACUAGCUGGGUGUCAGCCUGUCAGCCCUGGGUUCUACCAUGGCUCUCUUUGACCAGCGAGGUACUGACACCCAGAAGGGACGAAGAAACUGGCCCAAGGUCACAGAGCAGAGGAAGGAUAGAGCCAGUCUGUUUGGCCACUGUUGGGUUCCAUGCUCCCAGUUACUUUAUGUCUCUAUGGACAGACCACGAUGUGGCCUCCCCCACCACUCCCCAGAAAGUCAGGAUAGGGAGGACAGCCUGUCCUGCAGCCUCUGCAGGCCUUAUCUGAAAAACAGUAUCUUGCAAAAAAAAAGUAAAUACAUUUUAAAAAUGAAAAGCCUCAUUCUCUAGAAAGAAAAGAUGCUAAUCAGGAAGAAACCUAUAAACUCAAGAAGGGGUCAAAACUCAGCCAAAUUAAACACAGAAAAACCCACUUGGGGGAAAGACGGUAAUUUGCCUAUGGGGUGAUUUUUGAGCUACAUGGUUAAGUUUAUCUUUAUAGUUUUUUUUCCCCCUGCUUCGUUAUACUGUUCGGUGCUUUUCGAAAUUUCGACAAUGUUUUCAUAACCCAUGGGGGAAAAUGUUUUAAGGAAUCCUGAUCACAGAAUAGUUACCUCAAAGACUCCACACCAUGUCUCUCAGAUCUGACGAAGAAGGGGACCUUCCCGUUCCUGGUGACAUCCACCAGGCCACCUUUGCUGUCCAGGAUUCCGUAGUGAAUGGCGGCCCGGCAUAUGCUGGAUGACUGGGGGCAAGAACGGGGCACCAUAAGUCCAUCUGAAUUGGCCUUUGUCCAGGCUUCUUAGAAAUAUCCAGGAUGUUUGUCCUCAACCCACAAAAAGCUGAAACGUCAGGCCAGAGCUCGCCCCACUUCUGACCUUCCUUUCCCUAGAACACGUCUUUGUUCCUGGAGUAGCUUAUCUUAGAAAACUCAUCCGAGGUGCUUUACAAACUAAGAACAGUGACAAACAGCCCUUUCUCCCCAUCCAGUGGAGCACAUUAAUGCUAGGUCUAGAAUGGAGACGGACUUUCAUGAGGGUCAGCCCCCGUUCCCCAAAGUGGCUUUACUAGUCCGUGAUCCCAGAGAUAUGUGCGGAUCAGCUCUCAGGCUGAGGGGUGGAAAGGAAAUCUCAUCGUGAGGAACCACCAACCUCCUUUACAAACACACGGUGGGAGUCCACACAGGACACUUACACUUUCAUAGAAGAGAGUCCCAAAAACUUUUGCCUUGCUCUCCAGGCAGCCUGCGGGGCACUGAUACCUAAUGGAAAAGAAAGGAGAUGACUUUCACAGGUGAACGUGUUGAUGGAAUCUCGCCAAGAACUUAUCUGGGUUUGUCUCCUACAAAAGCUUUACUAUUAUAUCAGAGAGAAGCUUCGGUGAUACACAAUUUACUGUUUCCAAGCGAGUCACAACUUCCCUAGGCUGGAGCUCAUAGUCCCACGAGCACCAUUCUAGAUUCAAUCUGACCUUCUUAUCACGUGUUUGAGAUUCGUGUUGAAGGCAGAGACGCAAAUAGGACAAUUCACAGAAGAGAGACAUGUGGCUUUAACUUUAAAGGCACCAAAAAAAAAACAAAAAAACAAAAAAACAAAAAAAACCCCAAAAUCCUGAACUAUCAGUCAUCAAAGAAGGUACUAAUUGAAAGGAGAUGCCUCUCUCAGGUGUCAAAUUGCAAGGUUUUUUUUAAUAGAAUAAAAUUCAAUGAUAAUGCUCAUGCCCAUGAAAAUGCAUAAAUUAAGCUUUCUGGAAAGCCUUAAAAAUUCAUAUCCUCCAAUUCUUGAACUUUCCUUGUAAGUGUAUAACCCAAGGUAGAAGUCAGAAAGACCCACAUAUUAUUCCAAGUGUUUAUAAUAAUGAAAAACUAGAAAUAAGCCAGCACUGUCAAAGCAAUGGCCAAACAUAUGUUUGUGUGGUCGUACGUUAGAGUAUGAUGCAUCUGCUAGAAAUGAAGUCUUUGAAAAAUAUUUGACUUUGGAAAAUCUUAAAUGAAAACAGUAAUGCACAAGAUGCAUAAGCAGCGGUAAUCUCACGGGGGCACAGAAAACAGACGAGAAGGGACUACAUCAAAUUGCUAAGAAUAUCAAGAAGAUGCUGGGACAUUUGGGUUUUUUUUUUGCUUUAAACUUCUUUGUUGGGAUCCCUGGGUGGCGCAGCGGUUUGGCGCCUGCCUUUGGCCCAGGGCGCGAUCCUGGAGACCCGGGAUCGAA